AGUGAACGCUGGCGGCAGGCCUAACACAUGCAAGUCGAACGGCAGGACAGUAAUAGCUUGCUCUUACGGGUGGCGAGUGGCGGAUGGGUGAGGAAUACAUCGGAAUCUACUUUUUCGUGGGGGAUAACGUAGGGAAACUGACGCUAAUACCGCAUACGACCUACGGGAGAAAGCAGGGGAUCUUGGGACCUUGCGCGAUUGAAUGAGCCGAUGUCGGAUUAGCUAGUUGGCGGGGUAAAGGCACACCAAGGCAACGAUCCGUAGCUGAUCUGAGAGGAUGAUCAGCCACACUGGAACUGAGACACGGUCCAGACUCCUACGGGAGGCAGCAGUAGGGAAUAUUGGACAAUGGGCGAAAGCCUGAUCCAGCAAAACCGCGUGGGUGAAGAAGGUCUUCGGGUUGUAAAACCCUUUUGUUGGGGAAGAACAGAUGCAGGUUAAUACCCCGCUGUUCUGACGGUACCCAAAGAAUAAGCCCCGGCUAACUUCGUG
rnacentral:rRNA from 1 species